CUGAAUGUAAUCGAAUCAAAUUGCAAGCAUGUACAUGGUUUCGAAUUACCCCCCAACCAAGGGGGUUUAGUUCCUCAUACUCACAACAUAAAGUUUAUUGAAUUGAAACAUCGAAGACAUAAGAAAGAUUACACCUAAAACGCCCAAGAAUUCCACUUUGAAUUUCUGCACGUCAAGCUCCUCUUCUCUUCUCCUUGCUGCGGCAGAGAUGGUUUUGGGGGUUAUUGGAUGUGGUUUUGGUUUAAGAAUGGAGUUAGGAUGAUAUGGUGGUGCGGCAAGGUGUGUGGGUGGUGUAUGGAAGUGUAGAAUGGUGUAUGGAGGUGGAUGGUGGCUGCGGCAAGGAUGGGAAGUGGCUGGAAUGGAUGGAAGAUGCGGCAAGGUGGGGAAAUAGGGUUUAGACGAUUUCUGAAUUGUAGAAUGGGAGAUGUGAUGUGCGGCAAAGGGGGUAAAACACCUAUAUAUAGGCACCUAAAACCCUAAUUAAAUCAGAUUGAAACAAUGGGCUAGGGUUUAGGUGCGGCACUUAAGUGGACUAGGGUUAAGGUUUGUGAAAUAGGGCUUCUAGGAUGGACAUGUGCGGCAUGGGCUUAGGAGAAAUGGAUUAGGGUUUAACAUGGCAGAAAUUGAAUGAUUAGGCCCUAGGAUGCGGCAUGGACUUAGGGUUCACAAGGAAUUAGGGUUUAAGUCAUCUAAAAGCCCAAAGCCGAGAAUAGAAACUCACGAAAAUGGAAACCUCCAAGAAUAGAAACUUCCAACUUUAGAAACUUUGGUUGCCAAUUCCGAUUUAGGAAAGAUCAACCCAAAAUGGAAACUUUUAGGCUUAGCUUUCCUACUUCAAGUAGGAAACCUCAAAUCUCGAACUCUUCAAUUUCAUCCCAACCUUGUGUUCCAAGCAUGUCCUUUUCAUUCCAAGCUCACUUUUUGCUCCAAAAGCUCCAAAUUGCAUCAUUUCAUGUAAUAUGUCCUUUAAACCUGAAAACACAUGAAAGUAGCUUAAAAGACUACUUUAACGAAGAAAACAUAACAAAGAUGCAUAAGAACUAGCUAACUAAGGCGCAUAAAUAUGCUCCUAUCAAAUUCCCCCACACUUAGCUUUUGCUAGUCCUCGAGCAAAACAAACAAAAGAAAGAAAACAAAACGAAACAAACUAACCAAAACAAAACCUCAACCUUCCAACGUUUGCCUCAGGGAUUUCCAAUGCACAUGACAUGUUAAAGAUUGUUAUCCCCACAGAUUUGAGUCAUCUUUACACAAGCACAUACUUACUUAAAGCCACUACUCAGUAAUUCACACGUAAUCAAUAAAAACAAUGCUUUAAAUGUAGUAACAUGCCUUAGAGAAUUCCCUCAAUUCCUUACAAGAUAUACACUCUAUUUUCACUCAGAUUUACUAACUCCACACCCUACACUAGUCAUAUGUGAGAAGAUUGAUGUAGAUAUGAAAACGAAUGCUCACAUAUAUAUUUCACAAAGAACGCAAUUUCUAGAGUUAAGAAGCAUGUUUAGAUAUGAUCUCAUGAAUGGAAUGCUACUACUUAGAUGCGAGAACCAGUGACACCAUAUGCUCAUACCAAAUUCAAACUCCACAAAUUGAAACACAUAACACUCAAGAUAGAAGUUAAGGGUUGUAACGGGGCUUGGGGUAUUGGUUAACAAAGAAAUGAUAGGGAAAACAAACGUUCUUCAAGCGAUAGUAAGCAAAGUAGUGAAAUUGAGACUUCAAAUUCACUUAAAGCGCAGAAGUUAACUUUAACACACACGGGGGAUACUUAAACAACUCCUUAGGGUCAAAUUCAAUGUUUUGGACCCUUACUUCAACCAACAAUACUUUGGAAGUCUUUGUCUCAACUUUUCAACUUUUUUUUUUUUCAUACUUCUCAUACUUUUUCUUCAUUUUUUUUUUUUCUUUUCCACACGUGCCUAUGGCACACAAAAUCACAAAAGAAUUACUUGCCCCACACUUGUUUUCUGCCAACAUAAAUCAAAAGGAAAUCAAUUUGAAUCAUGCAUUACUAUGCUUUAAGAACAAGGUAUGGAUGGUCCUAAUCUAGGCUAGGUGAGGAGAACAUGGGUUAACAAAUAACGAAGGCUAAACAAGGCUCAAUGGGGUUAAAACCUACAAAACAUAAUGACAUAGGGGAUUCAUGGCUUUUUGGCUAAGGUGGUGGUAACUACGCAACUUCAUCUUGAAUAUGUGUUAUGCAAAUCAAUAACAUGCUUUGAAUGAAAUGGGCAUGAGUUCUAGUAUUUGGAACUAAAUGAUGAAACGCCUUCUAAAUAGUAACCAAGCAAGGAAUAAUGAGAUCAUGCAACGACUUAGAAAACAAAGAAUGCACAGAUUUUAACUCUCCAAAUAAACGUUUAGGCUCAAGUCUCACAAGGUUGUAGCGUUAGUUUGAGUUCCUUCCUUCAAGCAUGUUACAAAAACUGAUUUUUUUUCUUUUAUGAUUGCAUGUGAAUUCAUGAGUUAUAACCACAACUAAGGAUAAACAAAGAGUAAAUCAAACUUUCAUCCAUGUUAAUCACUCUCUUUAACAGUCAUGCACUUAAAAACCAAAUCCUCAUCAUUGUGUUGGAAGGUACCCUAAGACACAAACAAACACACAAAAACAACUCUUUUUGGGUUUUUUAAAACAAAUUUUUCAAAUUUUUAUGUGAUUUUCAGAUUUUUGCAUCAAAACACACUAAAACACAUCAAAACUGCUCAAAAACACUUAAAAACAGCAAGGAACAAGUAUCCAAGUUAAGGGUGAUAAAAUCCCACGAAUUUGCAUCUAAAACACUUAGUUACCCCCCCCACACUUAAAUCAAACAUUGUCCUCAAUGUUUCAAGCAUAAAAUCACACUAAACAAAAAGAAACACACAAACAGCAACUAAAACAACUAAAUAGGCAGAUUCGAAAUAAACAACAAAGUGAAGAGUUUAGGAACGCAAAUCUGGAAUUGGAGUGAUUCCUUGGGCUUCCUUUGUUGAAUUGCAUGGGUUGCCUCCCAAGUAGCGCUUUCUUUUACGUCGUACAGCCGAACGAAAAACAUGAUCAUGCCCCAUUGGAGCCCACGGCACUCUCAUACAUUGCAUCUUUGAACGGUAAUGGAUAGUGAUGUUUGUUGAUGGGUGCGUUGUGUUGCCUAAGGUUCAUGUACAUGCGCCCACCAUCGGGGAUUUGCUUGGGUACCUGCACCAUAGAAGGGAACCACCUAUCAACUUUAAUGGGAAUUGGAUUUGGAUUAGGUGGCUUACCUAUGUGAUGUGAUGAAGUGGCAGCAAGGUACACGUUCUUCCCCAUGGUGCCUUCGGCCACUGUGAGCACUUUGAGGGCAGUGGCCGUAUGGGCCUUGUACUCCACUCCAAUUCCCUCGUCUUGCAUGGUUCUUGACGCAUCCUUUGUGCUUGGUGUUGAACGAUCCGGGCCUAUCUUUUCAAGUUUAUCAAUGGCACAACAAGAAUGAACAACAUUAGGAGUCUCAAUGGAUUCAGAAAUUUUAAAACUAAUCAUGUCACCACCAAAUGCCAUAGUUACUAAUCCUUUAGCCACAUCAAUCUUCGUUUGAGCCGUUUUCAUAAAUGGCCUUCCAAGGAGGAUGGGCAACGAAGGGGCAUGGUCCGAUUCAUCCAUUUCGAGGACAUAGAAAUCCGCUGGGAAGACUAAACGAUCAACCUGCACUAAAACGUCUUCCAAAACUCCCUUUGGAUAGGCGUUAGAUCUAUCGGCCAAUUGUAUUAUUACCUCAUCAUUUUUCAAUGCUCCUAAGUUCAUAGAUGCAUAAAUGGAAUAUGGCAUAACAUUAAUAGAUGCUCCUAAAUCUAGCAUGGCAGAUUUGAAACGGGUAUUACCAAUGACACACGGAAUUGUAAAACUCCCCGGAUCUUUGCAUUUAGGGGGUAGUUUGCGUUGCAAGAUGGCGGAGACAUUCUCGCUUACAUGUACCACUUCUUUAUCCCGGACACGUUUCUUGGUUGUACAAAGCUUCUUUAAACACUUGGCAUACUACGGGAUUUGCUUUAUGGCAUCAAGGAGGGGAAUGUUGACAUGCACCUUUCUAAAUGUCUCUAGAACAUCUUUUUCCUCCUCUUCAUUCUUUGAUUGCAAAAAUCUGCUAGGAAAGGGGACAUUCAAAGGAAAAACAUUAGUAGGAACCGAAUUUGACACAUUCUUACCUUUAUUGGCCGAUUUGGACAGAUUGGGGACAUUAGAAGCUUGCGGCAAAGAUGGAACCUCCCUUGCCGUGGGCAUGCUUGAUUCCUCCUCUUCAAUUUGCACAUUUACAUCACUUUGGGGACCUGUUUGUGAUGGUGUAGAACCUGCCCCAAUCUCUUUUCCACUCCUUAGCAUGAUUGCAUUUGCGCUUUCGAAACCUCCCUUCGGAUUUGGAAUGGUGGAACUAGGGAGUUGUCCGGGAUCUCGAAACUUACCUACAAACUCGGCAAUCUGCCCAAUUUGUUUCUCAAGUUGAUCCACCCUUUUAUCUUGGUUUUGCAUAGCCUUAGCUUGAUCUUCCUGCCCAUUAGACAACUUAGUUAGUAUCUUAAGAAGUGCAUCAUUGUCAAGAGACGUACCUGAGGCACUUGGGCCGGAUUGGGCUUGAUUUUGGGGUGGGCCGUAGGUUUUGGGAAAGAAUCCCGGGGGUUGUUGCCUAAAGCCUCCUUGGUUUUGAGGUUGUUGGGGAUCCCUCCACUUGAAAUUUGGGUGGUCUCGCCACCCCGGAUUAUACGUGUUGGAGUAUGGAUCAUGUCUUGACUGAUUUUGGCUUUGAAACCCAAUGGCAUUCGCACUCUCCCAACCGCCAUUCUCGAUGAGUUGAGGACAUUUCUCGGAGACAUGUCCUUGGAUAGAACAUACGCCACAUACCACAGGUCCUUGCAUCUUCAUUCCCUCGGCCAUCUGUGAAACAAUAGAAGUAAGAUUAGCCAAUUGUGAAUGAAGAUCGGAAGUUGCACUUACCUCAUGUACUUGGUGCCGUGAGGGUCCUCUUUGGCCUACACCCUCGUACUGUUGAGCGUUCAACGCUCUAUUAGCAAUCAAGACCUUGGCAGCCAUGGGUGUUUUAUCCACCAAUGCUCCCCCUGCCGAAGCAUCAAGCAUUUGACGUUCUAGAGGUAGGAGGCCCUCGUAGAAAUAUUGCAAGAGCAAUUCCUCCUUCAUCUGAUGCUGUGGACAAGAAGCAACAAGUGAUUUAAAUCGUUCAUAAUAUGUAGGAAAAGACUCACCUUCUUCUUGCUGAAUUCCGCUUAUCUUUUUGCGUAGGAGGAUGAUGCGAGAAGUUGGAAAGAACUUCUCCAAGAACGCUCUCUUCAUACUCUCCCAAGAAGUGACAGUGCCGGGAGCUAACUCGUAUAACCAAUCCUUGGCUUUAUCCAUCAAAGAGAAUGGAAAAGCCUUCAUCUUCAAGAUAUUUCCGUCAACAUUGACGGGAGUCAUACUAGAGCAAACUACUUCAAAUUCUUUCAAAUGUUUGUUAGGAUCUUCCAUGGACAAGCCAUGGUAUUUAGGAAUAUGAUGAAGCAAACUUGACUUUAAUUCAAACUCAUCCGUCUUACCUUGGGCAGCCAUGGGGUAUUGAAUGCACAAGGGUGCGGCAUUAUCCAAACCUGAGGCGGAAAGCUCCUUGAGUGUACGAUUGUCCAUGGCCAUGCCUUGGACUUCUUCAAAUAUCCCUGCCGUGGCUUCCUCCUCCUCUUCUUGUGAUGCGUUUUCUUCAAGGUCAGAUUCGGAAUUGGGUGGAUGAUGUUCUCGCUGGUUUCUAACUCUUCUCAACUUCCUCUCAAAAUCGUCGUCAAAAUCCAAGAUGUUUGCACGAAUCGGUUGAGAGCUUCUAGUCAUACAUUAGUACCUAAGAAACAAGAAACAAAAUUAGGUCAGAAACUUAAACAAAGUCAGAAACAAAGUGAAAUAAAAGAAACAAAAACAAUCCAAGGGAUUAGCAAAAUUGCUAAUCCCCGGCAACGGCGCCAAAAAUUUGAUGCGAAAUAGAUAAGCACACAAAUUAAACCCUCUUUUUGUCAAAUUGUAGUAAAGAUGUAAGUAGGGAUCGUUCUAGACCGGGGAUUAGGAGGGAUUGCUAAACACUUGAAAACUGACUUAAAAACAGAAAACAAAGUUUAAAACACUAAACUAGACUCAAAGAAUGCAAAACUAAAGGUUAAAACACUUAAACAAACCUAAAACUCAAAACAGCAACUAGAAGGCUCAAAACUGCCUAAAAACCACUUUCUGGGCAGUUUUGAGCACCUACACUAAUUUGGACGAAAUUUGAUGAAAACUUGAAUCAAAAUACUUAGAAACACAAAUCAAAACACUUUCUAACUAAUCUAAGACUUCAAAUUAAAGGGGGAUUUGCUUUGGACGAAAAUUUAACACAAAACAUAAACUUUAACUAGCACAGAUUGUAAAAACGAUUUUGGUGAACUAGAUGGAUAAAAGGCUAGUUAGGAGGUUCUUCUCCACACAUGUCACACUUGCAAACAAAACGAUUUUCAGUUGUUCUUCCAAUAAAUUAUAAAGACUCAAUGCCCCGAAUUAACCGUGAAUUGCACUAAUUAACCCUCAGUUUUUCCAGAAUUUAUCAAGUUGGAUGAUUGCAUACGACAACCCAAAACAUUCCCUACAAGUUCCCUACAUGAAUUGCAUAAUAGAGAUACAAGCACGAAUCAUUAAGUUCUAUGAAAAACAUAAGCAUUGACGAAGCAUUCGUUACUAUGAAUUGCAUGAAACUUAUGCUAAGAAUUCAUUCAACGCGAUCGUUUUCAAGCGAUCUUCACUACUUGUGAUUAUAAGAUUGUAACUAUUAGGUGAAACUCCCUCAUAAUCUAGCAUCAUAUUCAUGCAUGAAAACUAAGCGUGCACUCUCAAUCAACAUACACAAAUAAGUUAUCAAUCAAAUAGAUGAACGAAUUGAAUCCACAACUUAUGAAAUAACAACUGAAUGUAAUCGAAUCAAAUUGCAAGCAUGUACAUGGUUUCGAAUUACCCCCCAACCAAGGGGCUUUAGUUCCUCAUACUCACAACAUAAAGUUUAUUGAAUUGAAACAUCGAAGACAUAAGAAAGAUUACACCUAAAACGCCCAAGAAUUCCACUUUGAAUUUCUGCACGUCAAGCUCCUCUUCUCUUCUCCUUGCUGCGGCAGAGAUGGUUUUGGGGGUUAUUGGAUGUGGUUUUGGUUUAAGAAUGGAGUUAGGAUGAUAUGGUGGUGCGGCAAGGUGUGUGGGUGGUGUAUGGAAGUGUAGAAUGGUGUAUGGAGGUGGAUGGUGGCUGCGGCAAGGAUGGGAAGUGGCUGGAAUGGAUGGAAGAUGCGGCAAGGUGGGGAAAUAGGGUUUAGACGAUUUCUGAAUUGUAGAAUGGGAGAUGUGAUGUGCGGCAAAGGGGGUAAAACACCUAUAUAUAGGCACCUAAAACCCUAAUUAAAUCAGAUUGAAACAAUGGGCUAGGGUUUAGGUGCGGCACUUAAGUGGACUAGGGUUAAGGUUUGUGAAAUAGGGCUUCUAGGAUUGACAUGUGCGGCAUGGGCUUAGGAGAAAUGGAUUAGGGUUUAACAUGGCAGAAAUUGAAUGAUUAGGCCCUAGGAUGCGGCAUGGACUUAGGGUUCAC
rnacentral:lncRNA from 1 species